UACGGAGGAUGCGAGCGUUAUCCGGAUUUAUUGGGUUUAAAGGGUGCGCAGGCGGAUUUUUAAGUCAGCGGUCGAAUCGUGGGGCUCAACCCCAUCCAGCCGUUGAAACUGGGGAUCUAGAGUGUGCGAGAGGUAUGCGGAAUGCGUGGUGUAGCGGUGAAAUGCAUAGAUAUCACGCAGAACCCCGAUUGCGAAGGCAGCAUACCGGUGCACAACUGACGCUCAGGCACGAAAGCGUGGGUAUCGAACAGG
rnacentral:rRNA from 1 species